UACAGAGGUCUCAAGCGUUGUUCGGAUUCAUUGGGCGUAAAGGGUGCGUAGGCGGCGCGGUAAGUCGGGUGUGAAAUCUUGGAGCUUAACUCCGAAACUGCAUUCGAUACUGCCGUGCUUGAGGACUGGAGAGGAGACUGGAAUUUACGGUGUAGCGGUGAAAUGCGUAGAUAUCGUAAGGAAGACCAGUGGCGAAGGCGGGUCUCGUGGACAGUUCCUGACGCUGAGGCACGAAGGCCAGGGGAGCAAACAGG
rnacentral:rRNA from 1 species